rnacentral:rRNA from 1 species
GAUCCUGGCUCAGGAUGAACGCUAGCUACAGGCUUAACACAUGCAAGUCGAGGGGCAGCAUGAUUGAAGCUUGCUUCAAUUGAUGGCGACCGGCGCACGGGUGAGUAACACGUAUCCAACCUGCCGAUAACUCGGGGAUAGCCUUUCGAAAGAAAGAUUAAUACCCGAUAGUAUAGUAUUUCCGCAUGGUUUCACUAUUAAAGAAUUUCGGUUAUCGAUGGGGAUGCGUUCCAUUAGAUUAGG